rnacentral:lncRNA from 1 species
UGGAAGCAAACAGAAUGUAACCUUUGGGAGUGUCUUCUUUCACUCAGCACAAUGCCUUUGAGAUUCAUCCACGUUGUUGUUUGCAUUGAUAUUUCAUUCCUUUUCUUGCUGGGUAGUAUUCUGUGGUAUUGACAGCCACAGUGUGUUUAUUCACCCAUUGGAGGACAUCUGGGUAGUUUUCAGUUCUUGGCAAUUAUAAGUAGAGCUGCUAUUAAGCACUCCUGUACCAGUCUCUGUGGGAAUGUAAAUUUUCAUUUCUCUAGGGGUGGAAUUUCUGGAUCAUAUGCUGGCUGAAAUGCAAUGAUUCCCAGGGAAACUUGGAACCCAUGUGUUGAAGGUGGUAGCACUUCCAUCAGCCUGGGUCCUGAAUGCCUGCAGGAGAAUAUCCUUUUGAUCCAUGUACCUGCCGAGGACUGAUAGAAGAGAGCUGUCAUGUUUGAAAACAGAAGUGAAGAUAUCCCUGGAGAGUUAGUGAAGGUCAUUGAUGGAAGCUCCAGGAGAGAGUGGGGAUAAUGGAAGGAAUAAAGUUAUCCACAUCUCAUCUUAAAGCUAGCAUCUUUAAUACAGUAUAACCAAGAUGAUUCCUGAAGGAAUACUCCACCUGAACUCAAGAGUAGUUGCUUACCAAGAAGAAGCAGUUCAAUUGUUCCUAAAACAUAUAAUUUGUCUAUCUGUAUAGUUCGACUUUUAGAUAAGGAUUAUAAUUUUCAAAUAUUAACUAUUUUCCAUUUAUGUAUCUAGAAGGAACAGCUGAACUAAUAUAAAAGCAUAUGUUUUGUGGACAUUGUCACAUAAUAGUUUGCCUAUCCACUACAGCUCAAAUUUCCAGGAAAAGAUUGUUUCAGUUUUCAACCAUUAACUUUAUCUUCCAUGCCUAUGUAUCUUAGCAUCUCCAAAUCUUAAGCAAAGAGAGAAAAUUAAAAAGGAUGUAAGUUGUUCUCAAGGACAUAAUCCUUAGGGUGAUGGAAAUGUUCUGUGUCUUGAUUGUAGUGGGGGUUAUACAACUAUAUGUGUAUGUCAAAAUUCAUAGAGCUGUACAACUAAAAAGGGUGAAAUUUACUGCCUGCAAAGGAUGCCUCAAUAAACCUGACGUAAAUCAAAGCCAAAAAAACCCAAAAUUCUUGAACACCUCCUCUGACAUUGUGGUAGGGUACGUAAGCACAUAAAAAAACAGAUUUCAGUCUUAAAGACUGAAAUAUGAAAGUAAAGUUCCAGUGUUAUCAUCUAAAUUACCAUAGAAAAAUUUUCCUAGGACACUUCGUUUCUGUUGUGCCUUAUCAGUGACAGCUCUUUGAACCCUUCGACCUGACCAGUUAGGAAAAGUACAAAGGAAGGGCCCUAUCUUUUAGCCAUCUUGUUGACUGGAUGCAGAAGGAAUACUUCCUUUAACCACUGGGGCAACAGUUAAGUUUGCUCAGAUACAAUCUCAUGCAGCAUGAUGUUUUUAAGAUAGUCUCUGUGAUUUUCCAGACUCUAGGUUGUGCUCGACAGAAACUCAGCUCCUGCCCAGACCCUUGCCUAGCUUGCAUCCUUGCUUCAUUCAGGUCUCUGCUCAAAUGUCCCUUGGCAGAAAGGCCUCCUUAUCAGCCCUAUUGCAAAUGACCAUAUUUGUGAAUUGGCUGCCUCUCUCACUAGACUGGAAGUUCCAUGAAGGCUUCAUCUUUUCUCUUAAGUUCCAUAGCCCCAGCACUAGAGCAGUGUUUGGCAUACAGUAGGUGUUCGCGAACCAUUUAAAGUGAAGAGGAGAAUCGAUUGGCCUCUGAAUCUAAACCACAGUAAAAGGGAGGAAUAAUUAGAACUAGGGACUUGAAUGCACGCAGAGUUCACUUUGGUCAUUCACCUGCCAUUCUCUCUGGUGUCUCCUUCCUACUCUCAAUGAUCCACAUAGUGGCUGCCUUGGAACCUCCAGGCUUAUCAUAUCACAACUCCACAAUCAGAGGGGAAACAGUCUUUCUCGCUCAGCUCCAGGUUGCAUAACCCCGGGAAAUGUUCUGAUUGGCCUGUCUCCCAGUGACAUACAGAGGAGGCCAGGACUGAGCCACAGUGUAUCUGCUCUUUUCCUCAUUUCUCACUCUCCAAUCCUGCCUGCUCCAUCUAUUUUGGUGAUGUUGCCCCAGUUUUAAUAAUGAUGCUUUACAGCCCAUUGCAGAUGCUGUUAGAACUCUGCCAUUAUCCCCCUGGAUCCCUUUAGUAUUUUUGCUCACACCUGCUUCCUGCAUGACAUGCAUUCGCUCUCAACAGCAACACCUGCCGAUCCUUGCUGGCGGGCUGCCCUAGGCUACUAGCACCUGCUUUGCCUGUGCAAUAAGAGAGUUCGAAGUGCCUCUAGGGGUAGCCCUUGACUGAUGACUGACAGCCUAGGAGUAUAAACGCUGCAGUCCCUUUACUCAUGAUGGAAACAACUCUGAGAUGUGACCUCCACAUGUCCCCAGAACUCCCUCAGCAUGGAGCCUAAGUUACCCUCCAUGGGGAUUUGCUGGAUGCUGCACCCUUGCUUGGCCUCCUUCCCAUCCCAGUCCCACUUCCCAUUCUCUACUUGGGAAUAUCUACUAAAUAAAUAACUUUCACAUGAAUUUGCAGUCUUCAUCCGGAGAACCCCACCUACAACAAGCUCCAUCUUUGCCCCUAGCUCUCCACCUAUUUGUCAUAAGAUUUUUUUUGAGGGCAGGUACCUUGGCAUAGUUUCCUGCCUCCCCUCCACACAUAUGCACUACAGAAAUGUUUACUUAUUUGCUUUUAAUAUGUUCCUAUCCUUAGAGUUCCUUCCUAUUUUCCAGGUUUCCCUGUUUCAACUAUCAUUGCUUCUCAGAUAUGCUAAUUUUCUUGCUUUGCUUAUUACUGAUGGCUUGUCUAUCUGCCCUCUCUAAUUCAACAUGUUAAACAUUCCUAAGUCAUAAGUCAAAUACCAUAUGUUCUCACCUAUAGGUGGGAGCUAAGCUCUGGGUAUGCAUAGACAUACAGAGUAGUAUAAUGGACAUUGGAGACUCAGAAGGGAAGGGUGGGAGGGGGACGAGGGAUAAAAACUAUAUAUUGGGUACAAUGUACACUAUUCUGGUGACAGGUACAAUCAAAUCUCAGACUUCACCGCUAUACAAUGCAUCUAUGUAACCAAAACCCCCUUGCACCUCAAAAGCUAUUGAAAUUAAAACAAAAAAACUAUUACUAACAUGGAGACAAACUAAUUUCUUUGAAAAAUGUAAACCAUUUAAAAGGCAAAUAUUACCAAAUCUAUUCACCAUCUUCCUUAUCUGGCCUUGAAGGACUAUUUAUGCACUAUUUAACCCAGUUGACCUGACCAGUGGACCUGGUUUUCCACAGAAGUGGCUAGAUUCUUUGAAGUUAAUGUUGGACUUGAUUUUUUAAAAGCAGGCCCUGAAAAAUUUUAAAGGACUAUAUGUCCAGAAUAUUAUAAAAUCAACAAAAAGAAACAUUCCUUGUAUUUUCCUCUUAUUUUCUAUACCUUUCUUCUAUGUUUUGCAUUAGGUGCUUGCUCAAGAUCUCAGUCAUGCUUUGACUCAGUUUAACAGUCAAAUCAUUACUAAUCGUACUACCUUUUCAUAGUUCACACUUCUAAAAUAUUAACUUGUAAAAGAAGGAAUGCGAUAAAGCCAUCAGAACACCAAGUGGUGUCUUUAUUUCUUAAUCAUUUUCUAAAACAUUACUUAAUUCAGUUGAAUUCAGAGAAACUUUUAGUAAUUCUUAUCAGAUGAAUUUAUAUACAUACCAUUGUGGAAAAUAAAAUAACUUGUGAGCAUCUUUGAUACAGCCUCAAUCAACAUUGAUGUUGAAACCAGAGGCUGUAAGUUUCAAAUAGCAGUUUAUGAGAAAACAUGGAGAGAAAUUUUAAGAUGUUGGCGUGAACACUUCUGACAAUGUAAAACACUCGGCUAACCAUUGCCCUUUGCUUCGACAGAUAAGAAGUUUAGCAAAUAUUUACAUACCAGUUUUCACAACAUUUAAGCUAAAUUUUUACUUCUAUGUAUUGUCAUUAUAAGGUUUAACUUCUAAGACUGUUUACUAAAAAGGGCAAAGAGCAUUUUUAUAAUAUUGCAAGGUCUGUCUUAAUAACUCCAAAGACUGCUGACUUGUAACCCUGAGACUGAAUGUUUAUUACAGGAAGCUGCAUGUUAGAAUGUUUGAGGUAGAAAAUUGUGCUUGUUUGCUUCAACUUGUAAACUACGUUUUUCAUAAAAGGUUGAUUUGACUCACCAACUCUUUGAUAAUUGUCCUACCAUUUUUGACCUCACUGAUCCAGCUCUAAUUAACUCAACAAAUAAAAGAGAAUGUGCAGAUUAGUUUGGAAUUAAGGACAUAGCUGAAGGCAUUCCUUGGGAAAAGUGAUUUUGCCAACAAAAUAAAUACUCUAACAAAAGAAUGUUAAAACACCAAUACAGAUCACAUCACUCUUCAUAAAACCCCCAAACUGGAAGCUAUCCAAAUACUGCCUGACAAUAGUAGGUUGGAUAAAUAUACUGUGGUAUAUUUAUAGAAUGGAAUAUUAUAAAGAAAUGAGAAUGCUCUGCAAUCAGGCACAAUGACAUAGAUGGCUCUCAUAAACAAAAUGUUGAGCGAAAGAAGCCAGACACAAAUGAGAACAUACCAUAUGCUUUCAUUCAUUAAAAGUUCAAAAACAGACAAAAGUAAUUUAUGGUAUUGUGUUGGGAUAAUGCUUAUCUUGGGGUAGUAAGGCCUGAAAGGAGGCAUAAUGGGGGAUUCUGGAGAGCUGAUAUGGUUCUAUUUCUUGAGUUACAUAUUUAUUUGAGUAUUUUUCUAUAUGUUAUCCUUCAAUAAAUGCUAUUAAAACCCCCAUGCUAUACAGAACCUUUAUUUUCAAUGGCGUUAUCUACUUUCCAAAAGAAUUUGAGUAGUCUUUCAGAUCGAGGAAGGGUGCUAGAUGCUGCUGUGAACGUUGAUAAAAGCAGGCUCGGUCCUUAAAGACCUUGUGGUAUGAUGGGAG